UCCAAUAAUGAGCCCUGCCUAUAUUUGA
rnacentral:sRNA from 1 species